CUACACACACUUCAUCUUCUGUGACUGCUCGUAUCCACUGUGCGGCUCUGGCCCACCACACACCCCCUGSGGGGGUGCGRGAUGGUGGCUGGAUCCGAAACAAACACGCCCACACGACACCAACCCCCCAGGGGUUGGCCGGUGUGGGAGUUAUAUCCACAGUUUUU
rnacentral:misc_RNA from 1 species